GAGUUUGAUCCUGGCUCAGAUUGAACGCUGGCGGCAUGCUUUACACAUGCAAGUCGGACGGCAGCACAGAGAAGCUUGCUUCUUGGGUGGCGAGUGGCGAACGGGUGAGUAAUAUAUCGGAACGUACCGAGUAAUGGGGGAUAACUAAUCGAAAGAUUAGCUAAUACCGCAUAUUCUCUGAGGAGGAAAGCAGGGGACCUUCGGGCCUUGCGUUAUUCGAGCGGCCGAUAUCUGAUUAGCUAGUUGGUGGGGUAAAGGCCUACCAAGGCGACGAUCAGUAGCGGGUCUGAGAGGAUGAUCCGCCACACUGGGACUGAGACACGGCCCAGACUCCUACGGGAGGCAGCAGUGGGGAAUUUUGGACAAUGGGCGCAAGCCUGAUCCAGCCAUGCCGCGUGUCUGAAGAAGGCCUUCGGGUUGUAAAGGACUUUUGUCAGGGAAGAAAAGGCUGUUGCUAAUAUCGACAGCUGAUGACGGUACCUGAAGAAUAAGCACCGGCUAACUACGUGCCAGCAGCCGCGGUAAUACGUAGGGUGCAAGCGUUAAUCGGAAUUACUGGGCGUAAAGCGAGCGCAGACGGUUACUUAAGCAGGAUGUGAAAUCCCCAGGCUUAACCUGGGAACUGCGUUCUGAACUGGGUGACUAGAGUGUGUCAGAGGGAGGUAGAAUUCCACGUGUAGCAGUGAAAUGCGUAGAGAUGUGGAGGAAUACCGAUGGCGAAGGCAGCCUCCUGGGAUAACACUGACGUUCAUGCUCGAAAGCGUGGGUAGCAAACAGGAUUAGAUACCCUGGUAGUCCACGCCCUAACUGAUGUCAAUUAGCUGUUGGGCACUUGAUUGCUACUAGGGUAGCUAAGGCGGGAAAUGCACCCCCUGGGGAGGACGGUCGCAGGAUGUAAAAAUCAAGGGAAUAAUGGGUGACCCCCCCAAGCCCCCCACCCCCCGGAUAAAUUUGAUGUAUUGGGAGAACCAUUAUAUGGUGGGGGGGUGUUCCCCCCUCUACCCCCCCGGAGGGGGGCUUAGGGGACCGAAAAAAAAGGUGAUGCAUGGCUGUCGUCAGCUAGUGUCGGGAGAGGCCGGGUUAAGUCCCCCAACGAGCGCAACCCUUGUCAUUAGUCGCCAUCAUUUAGUGGGGCACUUUAAUGAGACUGCCGGUGACAAGCCGGAGGAAGGUGGGGAUGCCCCCCCCCCCUCACGGCCCUUAUGACCAGGGCCUCACCCCCCCCACAAUGGUCGGUACAGAGGGUAGCCAAGCCGCGAGGUGGAGCCAAUCUCACAAAACCGAUCGUAGUCCGGAUUGCACUCUGCAACUCGAGUGCAUGAAGUCGGAAUAGGGAGUAAUCGCAGGUCAGCAUACUGCGGUGAAUACGUUCACGGGUCUUGUACACACCGCCCGUC
rnacentral:rRNA from 1 species